rnacentral:rRNA from 1 species
GUGCCAGCAGCCGCGGUAAUACGGAAGGUCCGGGCGUUAUCCGGAUUUAUUGGGUUUAAAGGGAGCGCGGGCGGCCUGUCAAGCGUGACGUGAAAUGCGGUGGCUCAACCACUGGAGUGCGUCGCGAACUGGCGGGCUUGAGUGCGCUGGACGAGGGUGGAAUUUGCGGUGUAGCGGUGAAAUGCUUAGAUAUCGCGAAGAACUCCGAUUGCGAAGGCAGCUCUCGGCGGCGCUACUGACGCUGAUGCUCGAAGGUGCGGGUAUCGAACAGGAUUAGAUACCCUGGUAGUCCGCACGGUAAACGAUGGAUGCCCGCUGUGCGCCUUUCAUGGUGCGUGGCCAAGCGAAAGCGUUAAGCAUCCCACCUGGGGAGUACGCCGGCAACGGUGAAACUCAAAGGAAUUGACGGGGGCCCGCACAAGCGGAGGAACAUGUGGUUUAAUUCGAUGAUACGCGAGGAACCUUACCCGGGCUUGAACUGUGGAGGCAUGCGGUGGAGACGCCGCAGCUCUUCGGAGUCUCCAUGGAGGUGCUGCAUGGUUGUCGUCAGCUCGUGCCGUGAGGUGUCGGCUUAAGUGCCAUAACGAGCGCAACCCCUGUCCCCAGUUGCCAUCGGUUUGAGCCGGGCACUCUGUGGAUACUGCCGCCGCAAGGUGGAGGAAGGUGGGGACGACGUCAAAUCAGCACGGCCCUUACGUCCGGGGCUACACACGUGUUACAAUGGCGCGUACAGAGGGCUGGCCGCCGGCGACGUCGGCCUAAUCCCCAAAACGCGUCUCAGUUCGGACCGGGGUCUGCAACCCGACCCCGCGAAGCUGGAUUCGCUAGUAAUCGCGCAUCAGCCAUGGCGCGGUGAAUACGUUCCCGGGCCUUGUACACACCGCCCGU